rnacentral:rRNA from 1 species
ACGCUAGCUACAGGCUUAACACAUGCAAGUCGAGGGGAAACGGCAUUGAGUGCUUGCACUCUUUGGACGUCGACCGGCGCACGGGUGAGUAACGCGUAUCCAACCUUCCCAUUACUGUGGGAUAACCUGCCGAAAGGCAGACUAAUAUCGCAUAGUCUUCGAUGACGGCAUCAGAUUUGAAGUAAAGAUUUAUCGGUAAUGGAUGGGGAUGCGUCUGAUUAGCUUGUUGGCGGGGUAACGGCCCACCAAGGCGACGAUCAGUAGGGGUUCUGAGAGGAAGGUCCCCCACAUUGGAACUGAGACACGGUCCAAACUCCUACGGGAGGCAGCAGUGAGGAAUAUUGGUCAAUGGACGGAAGUCUGAACCAGCCAAGUAGCGUGCAGGAUGACGGCCCUAUGGGUUGUAAACUGCUUUUGUAUGGGGAUAAAGUUAGGGACGUGUCCCUAUUUGCAGGUACCAUACGAAUAAGGACCGGCUAAUUCCGUGCCAGCAGCCGCGGUAAUACGGAAGGUCCAGGCGUUAUCCGGAUUUAUUGGGUUUAAAGGGAGCGUAGGCUGGAGAUUAAGUGUGUUGUGAAAUGUAGACGCUCAACGUCUGACUUGCAGCGCAUACUGGUUUCCUUGAGUACGCACAACGUUGGCGGAAUUCGUCGUGUAGCGGUGAAAUGCUUAGAUAUGACGAAGAACUCCGAUUGCGAAGGCAGCUGACGGGAGCGCAACUGACGCUUAAGCUCGAAGGUGCGGGUAUCAAACAGGAUUAGAUACCCUGGUAGUCCGCACAGUAAACGAUGGAUGCCCGCUGUUGGUACCUGGUAUCAGCGGCUAAGCGAAAGCAUUAAGCAUCCCACCUGGGGAGUACGCCGGCAACGGUGAAACUCAAAGGAAUUGACGGGGGCCCGCAC